UCCAUCUUUAGAGUGGCAUACACAAAAAUUGGAAUGAUCUAGAAAAGAUUAACUUGGCCCUAAUACAAGGACAACAUGCAAAUAUGUGAAGGGUUCCAUAUUUUG